rnacentral:rRNA from 1 species
AGAGUUUGAUCCUGGCUCAGGACGAACGCUGGCGGCGUGCUUAACACAUGCAAGUCGAGCGGAAAGGCCCCUUCGGGGGUACUCGAGCGGCGAACGGGUGAGUAACACGUGAGCAACCUGCCCCUGACUCUGGGAUAAGCCUGGGAAACUGGGUCUAAUACCGGAUACGACCCGCCAUCGCAUGGUGUGCGGGUGGAAAGAUUUUAUCGGUUGGGGAUGGGCUCGCGGCCUAUCAGCUUGUUGGUGGGGUGAUGGCCUACCAAGGCGACGACGGGUAACCGGCCUGAGAGGGCGACCGGUCACACUGGGACUGAGACACGGCCCAGACUCCUACGGGAGGCAGCAGUGGGGAAUAUUGCGCAAUGGGCAGAAGCCUGACGCAGCGACGCCGCGUGGGGGAUGACGGCCUUCGGGUUGUAAACCCCUUUCAGCAUCGACGAAGCUUCAUCCUUGCAGGGUGGGGUGACGGUAGGUGCAAAAAAAGCGCCGGCUAACUACGUGCCAGCAGCCGCGGUAAUAC